rnacentral:rRNA from 1 species
AGGCUCAUGACGAACGCUGGCGGCGUGCUUAACACAUUGCAGUCGAACGAUGAAGCCCUUCGGGGUGGAUUAGUGGCGAACGGGUGAGUAACACGUGGGCAAUCUGCCCUUCACUCUGGGACAAGCCCUGGAAACGGGGUCUAAUACCGGAUAACACUUCUGCCCGCAUGGGUGGGGGUUAAAAGCUCCGGCGGUGAAGGAUGAGCCCGCGGCCUAUCAGCUUGUUGGUGAGGUAGUGGCUCACCAAGGCGACGACGGGUAGCCGGCCUGAGAGGGCGACCGGCCACACUGGGACUGAGACACGGCCCAGACUCCUACGGGAGGCAGCAGUGGGGAAUAUUGCACAAUGGGCGAAAGCCUGAUGCAGCGACGCCGCGUGAGGGAUGACGGCCUUCGGGUUGUAAACCUCUUUCAGCAGGGAAGAAGCGAAAGUGACGGUACCUGCAGAAGAAGCGCCGGCUAACUACGUGCCAGCAGCCGCGGUAAUACGUAGGGCGCAAGCGUUGUCCGGAAUUAUUGGGCGUAAAGAGCUCGUAGGCGGCUUGUCACGUCGGGUGUGAAAGCCCGGGGCUUAACCCCGGGUCUGCAUUCGAUACGGGCUAGCUAGAGUGUGGUAGGGGAGAUCGGAAUUCCUGGUGUAGCGGUGAAAUGCGCAGAUAUCAGGAGGAACACCGGUGGCGAAGGCGGAUCUCUGGGCCAUUACUGACGCUGAGGAGCGAAAGCGUGGGGAGCGAACAGGAUUAGAUACCCUGGUAGUCCACGCCGUAAACGGUGGGAACUAGGUGUUGGCGACAUUCCACGUCGUCGGUGCCGCAGCUAACGCAUUAAGUUCCCCGCCUGGGGAGUACGGCCGCAAGGCUAAAACUCAAAUGAUUUUAACGGGGAU